AUACUUGUCCUAGAAAUAGAUGUAUCUAGACUUAUNUUAGUUAUAGAUACAUCCAUUUUGUACAUUUCUAGGACAAGUAUUUCCGGACGGAGGGAGUAUGUA
rnacentral:pre_miRNA from 1 species